CUAAAUUUAAACUCAAUGCGGAUUAUUCAGGGCACAUUUCCAAAAAUGCAGAUUCGAUACAGUCGAGUCAAUUUACGCACAUUCCAAUUCAGAGGAGUGAGCGUGCCCUAACAGUACUCAAAGUGUAGAUUCAAUCUAUUUUGAGAGCAGAUUCAAUCGAGUUUUUUUAAGGAAUAACUGUCCAGUAGAACGUGCCCUAACGGCACUCAAAUUAGGCCAUUUGGAAUGCCCGUUUUUAAAAAAGGCAGAUCGACGCCAUAUUACAUGACCGUUAAUAAAAAGCAGAUCGACACCCUAUUACAUGACCGUUGUAAAAAAGCAGGAUUUCACUUCUUUAUAUGGUCGGGUUUACUUGAGAAGCUGGACAGAUUGUAUUGUUCCUUUUAUUUUUUGGUUUAAUUUGCCUUCCGUUGUAUGUUUUUGGUGUGGCCGUGCCUUUUUUUGAGUUUUGCUUUCCUGAUUUUUGGUUUCAAUUUUUUUGUGAUCUUAGAUUUUGUAUUUGUAUUCAGACGUUUUCAUUUGCUUUGUGUGUUUGAAUUGUAGUUUUCUUAGUAUUUUGUGUAUCUUCCAAUUUCUGUGGGUCGUCAUUUUUUAAUUGGUAGGCAGCAGCAAGGACUCUACGUUCUGGAGUGGCUGAUUGGAGAUAUUGCCAGGAAAUAGUAAAUUGAUUGGAGUGUUUGACUUGCACUGUCAGGGGUAAUGUCUGCUAAAGUCAAAUAAUGAAUGUAAUAUUUAAAAUUGAAGUAAAUGUUGUAUUUUUGAAUGAGUUGCUGAACUCAGUAUUUGUAAAUUGAUAUGUAAAUAGAUUUGUUGUUUACUGCCAAAUUUUUAUUUGGAGGGGUUGAAUUGGCCCCCUUCCUUCCAAAGCUGUGGAGAAUGGUCAUUGACCUUUUUUUCAGUCUAGUAUUAGUGUCUCUAUGUUAUUUUUAUUUUUAUCUUUUUAUUGCAUAAUAUGUAAUGUUUAUUUUAUUUUAUUUUA